rnacentral:rRNA from 1 species
AGCGAACGCUGGCGGCAGGCCUAACACAUGCAAGUCGAACGAACCUUUCGGGGUUAGUGGCGGACGGGUGAGUAACACGUGGGAACGUGCCUUUAGGUUCGGAAUAACUCAGGGAAACUUGUGCUAAUACCGAAUGUGCCCUUCGGGGGAAAGAUUAAUCGCCUUUAGAGCGGCCCGCGUCUGAUUAGCUAGUUGGUUGAGGUAAUGGCUCACCAAGGCGACGAUCAGUAGCUGGUCUGAGAGGAUGAUCAGCCACAUUGGGACUGAGACACGGCCCGAACUCCUACGGGAGGCAGCAGUGGGGAAUCUUGCGCAAUGGGCGAGAGCCUGACGCAGCCAUGCCGCGUGAAUGAUGAAGGUCUUAGGAUUGUAAAAUUCUUUCACCGGGGACGAUAAUGACGGUACCCGGAGAAGAAGCCCCGGCUAACUUCGUG